rnacentral:rRNA from 1 species
UACGUAGGCAGCAAGCGUUGUUCGGAGUUACUGGGCGUAAAGGGUGCGUAGGCGGUUGCUUAAGUUUGGUGUGAAAUCUCCCGGCUCAACUGGGAGGGUGCGCCGAAUACUGAGUGACUCGAGUGCGGGAGAGGAAAGUGGAAUUCCUGGUGUAGCGGUGAAAUGCGUAGAUAUCAGGAGGAACACCGGUGGUGUAGACGGCUUUCUGGACCGUAACUGACGCUGAAACACGAAAGCGUGGGUAGCAAACAGG